GAUGAACGCUGGCGGCGUGCUUAAUACAUGCAAGUCGAGCGAACAGACGAGGAGCUUGCUCCUCUGACGUUAGCGGCGGACGGGUGAGUAACACGUGGAUAACCUCCCUAUAAUACUGGGAUAACUCCGGGAAACCGGAGCUAAUAUCGGAUAAUAUAUUGAACCGCAUGGUUCAAUAGUGAAAGACGGUUUUGCUGUCACUUAUAGAGGGAUCCGCGCCGCAUUAGCUAGUUGGUAAGGUAACGGCUUACCAAGGCAACGAUGCGUAGCCGACCUGAGAGGAUGAUCGGCCACACUGGAACUGAGACACGGUCCAGACUCCUACGGGAGGCAGCAGUAGGGAAUCUUCGGCAAUGGGCGAAAGCCUGACGGAGCAACGCCGCGUGAGUGAUGAAGGUCUUCGGAUCGUAAAGCUCUGUUAUUAGGGAAGAACAAAUGUGUAAGUAACUAUGGACGUAUUGACGGUACCUAAUCAGAAAGCCACGGCUAACUACGUG
rnacentral:rRNA from 1 species